UACGAAGGUGGCAAGCGUUACUCGGAUUUACUAGGCGUAAAGGGCAGGUAGGUGGUUUGGCAAGUCUGUUGUGAAAGCUCCCGGCCCAACUGGGAGAGGUCAACAGAAACUGCCAGGCUUGAGUAUAGGAGAGGGUACUGGAAUUCCCGGUGUAGCGGUGAAAUGCGCAGAGAUCGGGAGGAACACCAAUGGCGAAAGCAGGUACCUGGACUAUUACUGACACUCAGCUGCGAAAGCUAGGGGAGCAAACAGG
rnacentral:rRNA from 1 species